UCUGCGUGUUGUGGAGGGGAGUUCAUUCUUGAACUUUCAUCGACUUUCAAGAAAGAAAUUUCAAGUAGAUCAGGCCGCUCAUUUCAUUUUGAACUGCUGACAAACGAAGAAACAACCACAAUGAUCGCAAAUUUCCUGGUAAUUAUUCUACUACUGUCUGUUUGUCUAGUAGCCGGCCAGGAAGAACGUUCGGACUUUGCCAAAAUGGUCGGCCUUAAAGAGAUAAACUCAAAAGAAAACAUAACAAACCAUGUCGUGGCACGAUUGACCAAAGCGAUGGCAGCAGCUGAAAGGGAUUUCGCUCCAGCUGCGCUAAUAAACAUCCUCAUCCAGGCUUCCUUCACGUUGGGAGAAAUGAAUGCCAACAGCCCAUCGUGGAGCUUAUUUGACCAGUUCGAUGCGUUCUUUUACGUGGCCGAGCUUCUUCCCCAGCAGUAUCAGAUGAACUACGUGAAACGAUAUUGAACGGAAUAAAAAGUGCCCGUGAAA